UCCAAAGGAUGAUUACUGAUGCCUGGUC
rnacentral:piRNA from 1 species